rnacentral:rRNA from 1 species
UACGUAGGGGGCAAGCGUUAUCCGGAUUUACUGGGUGUAAAGGGAGCGUAGACGGCAGCGCAAGUCUGGAGUGAAAUCCCAUGGCUUAACCAUGGAACUGCUUUGGAAACUGUGCAGCUGGAGUGCAGGAGAGGUAAGCGGAAUUCCUAGUGUAGCGGUGAAAUGCGUAGAUAUUAGGAGGAACACCAGUGGCGAAGGCGGCUUACUAAGCCAUAACUGACACUGAAGCACGAAAGCGUGGGGAUCAAACAGG